UCCGCCCGCCGAGGCUGUCAGCGCCGCCCCCCUCCUCCUCCGUCCGGGCCAGUGGGGGGCAGCCACCUAAGGAGGGGGGCACUCCCCUCCCACGCAGAGCUCCGCUCCGGGCGGGGAGGGGGCACUGGAACUCGGCCCUCUCCUAAGCACCCUACUUGGCCGCGGCGCGCACGGGCACGAAGGAGUUAAACGGUUAAUCCGCUCUGGAAGAAGACACCGGACUGGUUGCCAGAGUGUCAGUCAGUCGGUCCAUCAUGGCGAGGGCGGAGUCCGGUGCUGGCGUGUCCUCGCCGCUACCCCUGGCCUGGGGGAGCUUUUCGGGAGUGGUCCCAGUGCCACCGGCGCGGUGCCUGCAGCGGGCGGCGGCAGAGUGUGUGGGAUCUCCUGUCUGUGCGUCGGAGGAUAGUGAUGGAGGACACCCUGUGGCGGAUACCCCGGCUGCCUGCCCACCUCUCUAUACAUCGCUGCCUCUUCUAAAGCACUUCUGCGGGAGGAGAAAGAAAAAUGCCAAUUCAGACCCCUUCGAAGACCCCACCAUCCCCCUCAAGGCGGGGAAGAAACCUGAUGCUCCCAGCAGGGGACACGAAGGCGGGUGAAGAGCCGCCUGAUCAACUUGCCCCAGCUCUGUGAACAUGGGGGCAUCCUGGGGGUUGGAGACAUGACACCUCUUUCCUCAGUCCUGCACCUUGCUGACUCAAGCAGCUGGACAAUGAAAGAAGGGGUUCCUAGAGCCUGCAAAGGGUGCCUUGGGGGAGGGGUGUCACAGCCCGUCACAGGACAAGUUUCAGCUAGUUAUGCAAACCGCAGGAGCAUGGAGAUCGGGAAGCGCUGGUGGCUGGACCUAGCCCAGUUGGCACGGUGACUCCCCAGCCCACCUCUCACUCUGCCCCCUCUCCUACCUACCUGUCGUUCUCCGCC